rnacentral:rRNA from 1 species
AUUGAACGCUGGCGGCAUGCCUUACACAUGCAAGUCGAACGGCAGCAUGAUCUAGCUUGCUAGAUUGAUGGCGAGUGGCGAACGGGUGAGUAAUACAUCGGAACGUGCCCUGUAGUGGGGGAUAACUAGUCGAAAGAUUAUCUAAUACCGCAUACGACCUGAGGGUGAAAGUGGGGGACCGCAAGGCCUCAUGCUCUAGGAGCGGCCGAUGUCUGAUUAGCUAGUUGGUGAGGUAAAGGCUCACCAAGGCGACGAUCAGUAGCUGGCCUGAGAGGACGAUCAGCCACACUGGGACUGAGACACGGCCCAGACUCCUACGGGAGGCAGCAGUGGGGAAUUUUGGACAAUGGGCGAAAGCCUGAUCCAGCAAUGCCGCGUGUGUGAAGAAGGCCUUCGGGUUGUAAAGCACUUUUGUCCGGAAAGAAAUGGCUCUGGUUAAUACCUGGGGUCGAUGACGGUACCGGAAGAAUAAGGACCGGCUAACUACGUG